rnacentral:lncRNA from 1 species
CAGCACCAACGAACCCAAAGGUAAGUUAGCACCUAGUUGUGUGGCGUUACUUAUCCAAGUACCUUGAGCAAUCCGCUCUCUAUCCGUUACAGAGAAACGGCGAGCCUUCCAGAUCCUGCAGUGCAGUGCUGCCUGGCAGCUAGAAGUCCUGCAAGAUAUGAAGUUCACCGCUGGUUUUCUGCUGUUCUGCGUUGCUGUAGCCGUUUCAGCUACGCCAAGUAAAGGCCAUGCUGUUCAUCGGAGCAACGCAAAGAACAAUCCGAGAGAAAUAGCCCGCCCUAGACAGCAGCAUAGCGGUGACAGAGGAGUAAUCGGUGCGCCAGACGAUGAGACAAAGUCAAGACGUUUGCCGAAUGAUGGCAAUGGUAGCGAGGAUGCAAGGCGUGGCCUUGGAGCACGGCCGACAUUACCGAACGGCCAAGAGGGUCGACAUGGCUACAGAGGUACCGGAAAUUCGAAUAACGAUGACGUCAUGAAAGCCGGGGACCUGACAUCAUCAGCCAACAGCCUGCUCGUCCAUUCCAAAAUACAGGCGAUAACCGAGGCGCGGAACCUGCAUCUAAUGAUGGGCAGCCGGGCGCUUUCCUCAGAUAAUGGCAGCCGCCUCAGAGAUGUAAGGCGUAGCAAUAUAAAUGGCUAUCGUUCUCGCGUUCGGAGUGAGGACGACAGCCGUAGCAGCGAAGAAGACAGGCCACAAUCUGGAAGACGUUAUCGUCCGCGUGCCGGAAGCGAUGACGACAGUCAUGGUAGCGAAGAAAGUCGAGAAUAUGGGAGACGUUAUCAUCCAAGGUUCGGAAGUGAUGACGACAGUCAUAGCAGCGAAGAAAGCCGAAGCUAUGAGCGACGUUACCCCCCACGGGUCAGAAGUGAUGACGACCGUCGUAUGAGCGAGGAGAAUAGGCGUAGGCGUAGAGAACGUCGCCAGCACCCCAGACGCAGUGGCGACGGCAGCGGAGAAGAGGUGCGUCCAUUUGGACAGCACCGUCGAACUGCUUCAAGAGGAUUUGACCUCAGCGACUAAGCGGGGCAGUACAUCUGUGCUCUCGCCAGUACAGCGCGGCACAGAUUAGGACUGGCUGGCAAAAUCAACUGGGAGCUGAUCACUUGGAAGCGUUUGUAACAGCUGCAUCAAGUUGGUGCUUAAAUUCAGCUGCGUGGACGCAACGUGUCUCUCCAUAUUACAUGGUCAUUAGCGACUCCGAAAUAAACAGAAGAAGCAAAAGCGGCAGAAUGAUCUUCAAAAAGACAUGACCUCGUAUUUCUUCCCGGUUUAAUAAAGAUGCAUUUGUGCAGAAAUAAUAUGUGAUUUGUUAAAUAAACGUA